GCAGUCGAACGAACUCUGGUAUUGAUUGGUGCUUGCAUCAUGAUUUACAUUUGAGUGAGUGGCGAACUGGUGAGUAACACGUGGGAAACCUGCCCAGAAGCGGGGGAUAACACCUGGAAACAGAUGCUAAUACCGCAUAACAACUUGGACCGCAUGGUCCGAGCUUGAAAGAUGGCUUCGGCUAUCACUUUUGGAUGGUCCCGCGGCGUAUUAGCUAGAUGGUGGGGUAACGGCUCACCAUGGCAAUGAUACGUAGCCGACCUGAGAGGGUAAUCGGCCACAUUGGGACUGAGACACGGCCCAAACUCCUACGGGAGGCAGCAGUAGGGAAUCUUCCACAAUGGACGAAAGUCUGAUGGAGCAACGCCGCGUGAGUGAAGAAGGGUUUCGGCUCGUAAAACUCUGUUGUUAAAGAAGAACAUAUCUGAGAGUAACUGUUCAGGUAUUGACGGUAUUUAACCAGAAAGCCACGGCUAACUACGUGCCAGCAGCCGCGGUAAUACGUAGGUGGCAAGCGUUGUCCGGAUUUAUUGGGCGUAAAGCGAGCGCAGGCGGUUUUUUAAGUCUGAUGUGAAAGCCUUCGGCUCAACCGAAGAAGUGCAUCGGAAACUGGGAAACUUGAGUGCAGAAGAGGACAGUGGAACUCCAUGUGUAGCGGUGAAAUGCGUAGAUAUAUGGAAGAACACCAGUGGCGAAGGCGGCUGUCUGGUCUGUAACUGACGCUGAGGCUCGAAAGUAUGGGUAGCAAACAGGAUUAGAUACCCUGGUAGUCCAUACCGUAAACGAUGAAUGCUAAGUGUUGGAGGGUUUCCGCCCUUCAGUGCUGCAGCUAACGCAUUAAGCAUUCCGCCUGGGGAGUACGGCCGCAAGGCUGAAACUCAAAGGAAUUGACGGGGGCCCGCACAAGCGGUGGAGCAUGUGGUUUAAUUCGAAGCUACGCGAAGAACCUUACCAGGUCUUGACAUACUAUGCAAAUCUAAGAGAUUAGACGUUCCCUUCGGGGACAUGGAUACAGGUGGUGCAUGGUUGUCGUCAGCUCGUGUCGUGAGAUGUUGGGGUUAAGUCCCGCAACGAGCGCAACCCUUAUUAUCAGUUGCCAGCAUUAAGUUGGGCACUCUGGUGAGACUGCCGGUGACAAACCGGAGGAAGGUGGGGAUGACGUCAAAUCAUCAUGCCCCUUAUGACCUGGGCUACACACGUGCUACAAUGGAUGGUACAACGAGUUGCGAACUCGCGAGAGUAAGCUAAUCUCUUAAAGCCAUUCUCAGUUCGGAUUGUAGGCUGCAACUCGCCUACAUGAAGUCGGAAUCGCUAGUAAUCGCGGAUCAGCAUGCCGCGGUGAAUACGUUCCCGGGCCUUGUACACACCGCCCGUCACACCAUGAGAGUUUGUAACACCCAAAGUCGGGGGGUAACCU
rnacentral:rRNA from 2 species